UUCCUGUGACUUCAGUGGAAUUAUGCCUGAGCUACACUGGAAAUCAGAGUAAAGUGCUGGAGAAGUGCUUUCUCAGGUCAUCAGGCUGAGAAGACCAUAAUGAAGUCUUGCUAAGACAGCAACUGCUAUGAAACUAUUUGAACCUUUCAGCUCCUCUUCCAGUGAAGAUGAUUAACUUUUGCUGACCACCUCAGCUCUAUCAUCAGGACUGCUGCUGACUCAAAAAUUCUGGUCCUUUUACCGAGAUGGACAUUUCAUUUCCUUUGUGAGGAAGCUGGAAGAAGGACAGAGGACAGUUUGCUCCUGAUCCCUCUCCUUGUAGUCAACUCAGAGAUGAAACAAUCUGAACUAGGAGCCACAGAUUCAUUCCCUGCUGCAGCUCACAAAAGCAGUACAUGUACAUUGAAAUAGUGGAGGCAACUGCGUGUCACCAAUGGCUAAGAAACAGCCUGAGGUCCUUGGUUUUCUUCAGGUCCUUGGGAGCUUGUCCACAUUUCCAUGAUCAAAAGUCUGAACCAAAGGUCCCCAGGAGGGUAAGUGGCAAGGAGGACUCCAGAAGUCUCCUUCUGAAGUCUGGGGGGAGGAAUCAAAGAAAUGCUCAUCUUUUCAGUUUGAGGAGCAAUAUGAAUAUUUUGAAUAUACGUUGAAAUAUGAAUGAAUAUACAUUGAAAGAAAUGAUGUUGCAUUUUGUAUCAGUUCUACAUGCUU